rnacentral:ncRNA from 1 species
CCCCCUGGACGACCAGGCGGCGAGAUUAUUCCCGGCGGGACGACCCGC